rnacentral:rRNA from 1 species
AAGCAGCAAUAGCUCAAAUUUGAAAUCUGGCGUCUUCGACGUCCGAGUUGUAAUUUGUAGAGGAUGCUUCUGAGUGGCCACCGACCUAAGUUCCUUGGAACAGGACGUCAUAGAGGGUGAGAAUCCCGUAUGCGGUCGGAAAGGCGCUCUAUACGUAGCUCCUUCGACGAGUCGAGUUGUUUGGGAAUGCAGCUCUAAAUGGGAGGUAAAUUUCUUCUAAAGCUAAAUAUUGGCCAGAGACCGAUAGCGCACAAGUAGAGUGAUCGAAAGAUGAAAAGCACUUUGGAAAGAGAGUUAAAAAGCACGUGAAAUUGUUAAAAGGGAAGGGAUUGCAACCAGACUUGCUCGCGGUGUUCCGCCGGUCUUCUGACCGGUCUACUCGCCGCGUUGCAGGCCAGCAUCGUCUGGUGCCGCUGGAUAAGACUUGAGGAAUGUAGCUCCCUCGGGAGUGUUAUAGCCUCUUGUGAUGCAGCGAGCGCCGGGCGAGGUCCGCGCUUCGGCUAGGAUGCUGGCGUAAUGGUCGUAAUCCGCCCGUCUUGAAACACGGACCAAGGAGUCUAACAUCUAUGCGAGUGUUCGGGUGUCAAACCCCUACGCGUAAUGAAAGUGAACGGAGGUGAGAACCGCAAGGUGCAUCAUCGACCGAUCCUGAUGUCUUCGGAUGGAUUUGAGUAAGAGCAUAGCUGUUGGGACCCGAAAGAUGGUGAACUAUGCCUGAAUAGGGUGAAGCCAGAGGAAACUCUGGUGGA